GAUUAACGCUGGCGGCGUGCAUAACACAUGCAAGUCGAACGAUGAAACUUAACUGAUUUCUUCGGAAUGAUUUUAAGUGGAUUAGUGGCGGACGGGUGAGUAACGCGUGAGUAACCUGCCUUGGAGAAGGGGAUAGCCUUUGGAAACGAAGAAUAAUACCCUAUGAUAUGAUAAUAUCUCAUGAUAUUAUCAUCAAAGAUUUAUCGCUCUAAGAUGGACUUGCGUCUGAUUAGUUAGUUGGUGAGGUAACAGCUCACCAAGGCAGCGAUCAGUAGCCGGCUUGAGAGAGUGGACGGCAACAUUGGGACUGAGACACGGCCCAGACUCCGACGGGAGGCAGCAGUGGGGAAUUUUGCACAAUGGGGGAAACCCUGAUGCAGCGACGCCGCGUGAUUUAGAAGGCCUUCGGGUUGUAAAAAUCUUUUGUAUGGGAAGAAAAUGACAGUACCAUACGAAUAAGGACCGGCUAAUUACGUG
rnacentral:rRNA from 1 species